UGCUGUUCUUCUGCUGUAUUGCAGGUUGGAAUCUACUUGCCACAGACUGCCUGCAGUCAUUUCCAUUCCACAAUUCCCACAAGAUGUCCAGAGCCGCUUAGAUGCUAAAGAACCGGUCCACAAGAAACAAAAGUACUGUAACAAAAUAAUUGGGACUCUGUAUGACAUGCUGUCACAGUGUACAAUGUAUCCAACCAACUCGGACUACGUUCAGGUCGUUAAAGCGUUAAUUGGGAAGUACCCUUUCUUAAGGGAUGUACACGGGAAUGGUUAUCAUACCUGGCACAGCCAACUCAAGAGAAAAUUCAAAACAGAACGGGCUCCACUAAUCAACAAUGAGGAAGUAAAACGGGUCAAAGAAAAGUUUCGGCAAGCAAGAUCACUGAAGACCCCAGAAGAAUCUACAUCCACAUGUCCAAAACAACUGAAGCCAUCUCUAG